rnacentral:pre_miRNA from 1 species
GGGGGUAACAUGAGAAUACAUGAAAUAGAUACUAUCAGAGAGUCAUUCCAUUGUAGUAUCAGUUUCUUCCAUGUGUUCUCAGGUCGCCCCUGC